CGUGAUCUCCGUGCACCUGCCGGUUGCCCUGCCCCCUCCAUAAGCAGAAGCAGCCUGAAGCCCACGCCAGAUGCAGCUGUCCCAGAAUCAUCACCAGAUGGAGAAUGGCUGCCCAGGCCUCUGGGGAACAUCAGGACAGGUCCUGAGGGUGCAAUGCCCAGUUCCACGGCUCUUGCUUCCAUCUGGAGGGACAAUCCAGCUGACAGAGACAUCUCCCAAUCAUAAGGAUAGAAGUCUGUGACCUGUGGCUCCUAUUAGAUACUGAGGUUGGACAAGGGCCCUGAAGAUGGAAAGUUUCAAGGCAUCUGGAUGACAAAGAUUGGUAGGUGGGAAUGCAAACCUGUGGCCAUCUUUGCAGAAACCCAGGGACAAAAAUCAGAGAGGAAAAAGGAAAUUUACGAAGACCUAUGUCUGAGAUGAAGCAGCAUGUCUGGAAGGAUGUAAAGUUGAACGGCAUUUGGGAAUUGCAGUAAAGGAACAAUGAGGCAUCCUACUAAAGUUGAUUUCCAGCUCUAAAGCAAAUCAUCAGAACUCCAAAAUGGGUACAAUUUUAAAAUAUUUCCCUCAUCACAAAUGAUGCAAGUUUAGUGACUAAAAAUGACAGCCCUGCCCUUCUUGUAGGUUCCUUGUAUGUGUGGUUGGGGGUCAUGGGGAGGAGAGAAGGAAGGUGCUGUGCUUCUGGACUGGGAGCUGGAGACACCAGGGAUGAAAGUAGCUGCAUUCCAAUGGGGCAGAGCUCUGGCUUCCUAUGUGUCAAGUUCCUGGCAUUUAAGCAUUCCUCCCCUUGGAA